rnacentral:misc_RNA from 1 species
CAUUAUUGAAUAAACCUGAUGGGUUGUUGCUGGCUCUCUAGGGAGCAUGUGCACACCUUGUCAUCUUUAUAUCUCCACCUGUGCACUUUUUGUAGACCUUUCAGGUCUAUGUUGCUUCAUUUACCCCCA